rnacentral:rRNA from 1 species
CCUACGGGAGGCAGCAGUGGGGAAUAUUGCACAAUGGAGGAAACCCUGAUGCAGCGACGCCGCGUGAGUGAAGAAGGAUUUCGGUAUGUAAAGCUCUAUCGGCAGGGAAGAAAAAAGACGGUACCUGACUAAGAAGCCCCGGCUAACUACGUCCCAGCAGCCGCGGUAAAACGUAGGGGGCAAGCGUUAUCCGGAUUUACGGGGGGUAAGGGGAGCGUAGACGGUAUGGUAAGUCUGAAGUGAAAGCCCAGGGCUUAACCCUGGGACUGCUUUGGAAACUGUGAGACUAGAGUGCUGGAGAGGUAAGUGGAAUUCCUAGUGUAGCGGUGAAAUGCGUAGAUAUUAGGAGGAACACCAGUGGCGAAGGCGGCUUACUGGACAGUAACUGACGUUGAGGCUCGAAAGCGUGGGGAGCAAACAGGAUUAGAUACCCCAGUAGUC